rnacentral:rRNA from 1 species
AUUGAACGCUGGCGGCAUGCUUUAUACAUGCAAGUCGAACGGCAGCGCGGGCUUCGGCCUGGCGGCGCGUGGCGAACGGGUGAGUAAUGCAUCGGAACGUGCCCUGCCGUGGGGGAUAGCCUGGCGACAGCCGGCUUAAUACCGCAUACGAUCUGAGGGUGAAAGCGGGGGACCGAAAGGCCUCGCGCUAUUGGAGCGGCCGUUGUCGGAUUAGCUAGUUGGUUGGGUAAAGGCUUACCAAGGCGACGAUCCGUAGCUGGUCUGAGAGGACGACCAGCCACACUGGAACUGAGACACGGCCCAGACUCCUACGGGAGGCAGCAGUGGGGAAUUUUGGACAAUGGGGGCAACCCUGAUCCAGCCAUGCCGCGUGCGGGAAGAAGGCCUUCGGGUUGUAAACCGCUUUUGUUCGGGAAGAAAUCCUCUGGGCUAAUACCCCGGGGGGAUGACGGUACCGGAAGAAUAAGCACCGGCUAACUACGUG